UCCGGUCUGUCACCGGCAGUCUCCCUAGAGUCCCCGGCAUUAUCCGCUGGCAACUAGUGAUGGGGGUUGCGCUCGUUGCGGGACUUAACCCAACAUCUCACGACACGAGCUGACGACAGCCAUGCAGCACCUGUGUUACGGCUCUCUUUCGAGCACGCCCGAAUCUCUCCGGGCUUCCGUACAUGUCAAGGGUAGGUAAGGUUUUUCGCGUUGCAUCGAAUUAAUCCACAUCAUCCACCGCUUGUGCGGGUCCCCGUCAAUUCCUUUGAGUUUUAAUCUUGCGACCGUACUCCCCAGGCGGUCAACUUCACGCGUUAGCUGCGUUACCAAGUCAAUUAAGACCCGACAACUAGUUGACAUCGUUUACGGCGUGGACUAC
rnacentral:misc_RNA from 1 species